AUGGUCCAGUGGUUAGGACGAACGGCUAUCAAACGUGAAGGCCCAGGUCCGUAUCCUGGU
rnacentral:tRNA from 1 species